GGGCGAAUGGUCUAGGGGUAUGAUAUUCGCUUUGCAUUGUUCUGAAGAAAUUCGGAAAGCACCAAUGAUCUGCGAAGGGUCCGGGGUUCAAAUCCCCGUUCGUCCA